UACAGAGGGGGCAAGCGUUGUUCGGAAUUACUGGGCGUAAAGGGCUCGUAGGCGGCCAACUAAGUCAGACGUGAAAUCCCUCGGCUUAACCGGGGAACUGCGUCUGAUACUGGAUGGCUUGAGUUUGGGAGAGGGAUGCGGAAUUCCAGGUGUAGCGGUGAAAUGCGUAGAUAUCUGGAGGAACACCGGUGGCGAAGGCGGCAUCCUGGACCAACACUGACGCUGAGUGAGCGAAAGCCAGGGGAGCAAAGCGGG
rnacentral:rRNA from 1 species